GGCUUCGUAGCUCAGUUGGAUAAAGCGUGGGCUGUACUAAAGCCUUCCCCUUGCUGGUGUUGGUUAAAAUCCCACCGAGACCA
rnacentral:tRNA from 1 species